rnacentral:rRNA from 1 species
GACGAACGCUGGCGGCGUGCCUAAUACAUGCAAGUAGAACGCUGAAGAGAGGAGCUUGCUCUUCUUGGAUGAGUUGCGAACGGGUGAGUAACGCGUAGGUAACCUGCCUUGUAGCGGGGGAUAACUGUUGGAAACGAUAGCUAAUACCGCAUAACAAUGGAUGACCCAUGUCAUUUAUUUGAAAGGGGCAAAUGCUCCACUACAAGAUGGACCUGCGUUGUAUUAGCUAGUAGGUGAGGUAACGGCUCACCUAGGCGACGAUACAUAGCCGACCUGAGAGGGUGAUCGGCCACACUGGGACUGAGACACGGCCCAGACUCCUACGGGAGGCAGCAGUAGGGAAUCUUCGGCAAUGGGGGCAACCCUGACCGAGCAACGCCGCGUGAGUGAAGAAGGUUUUCGGAUCGUAAAGCUCUGUUGUAAGUCAAGAACGAGUGUGAGAGUGGAAAGUUCACACUGUGACGGUAGCUUACCAGAAAGGGACGGCUAACUACGUGCCAGCAGCCGCGGUGAUACGUAAGUCCCGAGCGUUGUCCGGAUUUAUUGGGCGUAAAGCGAGCGCAAGCGGUUUGAUAAGUCUGAAGUUUAAGGCUGUGGCUCAACCAUAGUUCGCUUUGGAAGCUGUCAAACUUGAGUGCAGAAGGGGAGAGUGGAAUUCCAUGUGUAGCGGUGAAAUGCGUAGAUAUAUGGAGGAACACCGGUGGCGAAAGCGGCUCUCUGGUCUGUAACUGACGCUGAGGCUCGAAAGCGUGGGGAGCGAACAGGAUUAGAUACCCUGGUAGUCCACGCCGUAAACGAUGAGUGCUAGGUGUUGGAUCCUUUCCGGGAUUCAGUGCCGCAGCUAACGCAUUAAGCACUCCGCCUGGGGAGUACGACCGCAAGGUUGAAACUCAAAGGAAUUGACGGGGGCCCGCACAAGCGGUGGAGCAUGUGGUUUAAUUCGAAGCAACGCGAAGAACCUUACCAGGUCUUGACAUCCCGAUGCUAUUUCUAGAGAUAGAAAGUUACUUCGGUACAUCGGUGACAGGUGGUGCAUGGUUGUCGUCAGCUCGUGUCGUGAGAUGUUGGGUUAAGUCCCGCAACGAGCGCAACCCCUAUUGUUAGUUGCCAUCAUUCAGUUGGGCACUCUAGCGAGACUGCCGGUAAUAAACCGGAGGAAGGUGGGGAUGACGUCAAAUCAUCAUGCCCCUUAUGACCUGGGCUACACACGUGCUACAAUGGUUGGUACAACGAGUUGCGAGUCGGUGACGGCAAGCUAAUCUCUUAAAGCCAAUCUCAGUUCGGAUUGUAGGCUGCAACUCGCCUACAUGAAGUCGGAAUCGCUAGUAAUCGCGGAUCAGCACGCCGCGGUGAAUACGUUCCCGGGCCU